rnacentral:rRNA from 1 species
AACAAAAACAUGUCCUUUUGUUUAUUUAUUUAAGGUUUAACCUGCCCACUGAAUUUAUUUUAAAUGGCCGCAGUAAUUUGACUGUGCAAAGGUAGCAUAAUCAUUAGUUUUUUAAUUGAAAGCUUGUAUGAAAGGUUGGACGAAGUAUAAUCUGUCUUUAUUUAAUUUAUUGUAGAAUUUAAUUUUUAAGUUAAAAAGCUUAAAUAUUAGUGAAAGACGAGAAGACCCUAUAAAUCUUUAUAUUUUUAUUAAAUUAUUUAAAUUAGGAUUUUUUAACUUAUAAUUUUAUAUAGUAUUUUAUUGGGGUAAUAAAAUGAUUAGAAUAAUUCAUUUUGGUUUUUUACAUUAAUUUAUGAUUUUAUGAUCCAUGUUUUUUGAUUAUAAGAUUAAGUUACUUUAGGGAUAACAGCGUAAUUUUUUUAAAGAGUUCAUAUCGAUAAGAAAGUUUGCGACCUCGAUGUUG